ACAGAGAACGUAAAUAUCACUUAUAUAUACCCUGGAUAAGGCAGGGAGUUUCUACCGGAAACCGAAAAUUUCCGACUAUGGGUGAGUGGAUUUGGUAC
rnacentral:ncRNA from 2 species